rnacentral:tRNA from 1 species
GGCUUGUUAGCUCGGUUGGUAGAGCACUGCACUUGCAUCCCAGAGGUCAUGGGUUCGAAUCCCGUACAGGCCU